rnacentral:rRNA from 1 species
GGUAUUGAAAUAAGAUUUUAAAUGAGUGCUAAGAGAAUGAUUAAACAAUUAAAAGCUUUCUUUAAUUAAAAAAUUAAAUUUAAUUUUUUUAGUGCAAAAGCAAAAAUAAAAUUUAGGGACAAGAAGACCCUAUGAAUUUUUAUUGUUAAUAAUUAAAAUUUAAGUUAUUAAUAAUUUAAUUGGGGCGAUAAAAAAAGAAUAAGUAUCUUUUUAGUUAUAAAAUAAGUUCCGUUUUUAACGAUUAAAUGAAAUAAAUACUCUAGGGAUAACAGCGUAAUAAUUUUGGAUAGUUCAUAUAGAUAAAAUAGUUUGCGACCUCGAUGUUGGAUUAGGAUUCUUUUUUGGUGAAGAA